GAAGCCUUGGUGUGCGGUGCUAGUUAUAUCAAAGGUUCUCACAAGGACUUCAAUGUGGUGGAGAGGGAUGAAGAUGAGGAGGACGAUGUUGAGAAUAUCAAGUUGCCCAAGAUUGUUGAUGUGGGGGGUGACAACAAUUGAUAUUCGCCAUGUGGGUGUUGCUCUUGCUAUUUUGAAGAUGGAUGUCUACAUGAUCUUCUCAUGUGGAUUGUUGAGGUCAACGUGAUCAUCUCGUGCCAUUUCUUUUGUUGUGAUGAACUUCGAAUUAUGUGUGCUGUUGUGGUGAACUAUGGACCUUGAAUGAUGUUGUGAUGAACCAUGCACUUUCAACAAUGUUGCUGUGAACUUGUGAUGAACUAUGAACUUUGUAUUAUGUGGUUUUCACUAGUCAUUGUUUGGCUGUCAACAUUUUCUCAGUUUUAUGUCAAAGUGGUAAGUGUUAUGCUAUGCAAAA